GGGGCGUGACCUCGCUGCCCCAGUCAGGUGUUUUUCUUUACUUGCCCACGUACUUAGAAAAUAGUACCCCAACCAAGUUGGAUUGCAACUUUAUUGAGAUCGAAUUGAUGUGUCGUAAAGUUCGUCUGUUUAAAAAGUGUACAGUUAGCCAGGCGGAGUGGUGCACGCCUUUAAUCCUAGCGCUCGGAGUGGCAGAGGCCCGGAAACACCUUUUGAAAGUAGCUGACUCACUCACCUGUCAAGUGAGGAAGAUCAACGACAAACCAGGCCCGGGCAUUCCUGCUACCUCUGGAACUCGCCUAGAUUAUAGAUGCUAUUCCUGCGUCACGGCUGUCACCAAGGUCUGUCACCAAGAUGUUCGCCAUCACCAUUACGGCCUCCAGCACCACUGUCACAUCCCCUGCCUUGGGGAACUCACCACUCCCCGUUAAAAUCAAACAAACAACCCUGCCUGCUUCGUUGAUCCUACUUGGCCAAGUAAUAGAGAGAGCCGGUUAGGGAAGAAAUGAUGAUGUAUUCUUAGGAAACCGGAGGUGGCAUGUACCCAACCAUGAUAUACUCCUGGAACAAGAGGCUUAUCAUGAUCACCAGAAAAUGUAGUCAGACCAGGAAGCUGAGCAGUUGUGUUUCCACCACCCACCUCUCACAGCUGUGCUCUGGAAGACCCCAAACCAGCUCCCAUCACUAAUGUACUCCAAAGACCUGGGGCCUCCGUGAGAAAGAAGAUGAAACAACAGCAGUUAUAGCGUAACGGUAGCCUCAAUUUGCCCUCUGACCCCUGCCCUUCUAUUGGCCACGAGCCCCAUAAAGCUGCACCUCCAGGUUAACCUACAGCCUCGCUAACUUUAGCAAAAACAGUACUUUGCUAACUUCCAGGAUUCUGCUCCCAAAUCUGCAGUCACUGCCUAUCGGAGGUUCUGAACCUUAUUGGUAAUCUGAGGAAGGUUAGCCUUUAGUUGAAAGUUCAAGCACAGGAAGAUUCUGUAAGUUUAAAAGCCCUCCGCACCCCCAGGCGAUUCUGUGGAUUUAUCAUGCUUUAGAACAACAGGCUGUGGUAGGACUACCUCAGCACGUCUCUAGUCCUGGCAUCACAACGCUCCCUGUUCCAAGUAUUCUUUGACUGGUGGCGGUAGGAUCCGAACACAAGUCCUUGAGAGUCCUGGCUCCUCUCUGGCCAGGGAAUCAAUCAAUCAAUAGGUGGUCCUGACACAUGACCGGCGCAAAGGCUUUGCGGCCAUCCAAUCCUCUUUCUUACUGUCUAAGAAGACCUACUAGUGCCUGGAGUUAGAGCUCCAGGGUGUGAAAGGAGGGGUGGGGUGGGUGUCCGGGGAGGGAGGGUGUACAGGCUUCCGAAGGAGUAACGUGAUCUGCUCUGUCACCCGGGACUCUCCCAGACGACUCAGAGUCAGAACCACACCAUGGUGAUACAAGGGUUGUACAGAUCCUUCCUCCGCUCUACGUCUAAAUAGGGGUACUGUGGAAAUGACUCACUCCAGAGUGCUCUUCUUCCUGUCACGAGACACUGUUUGCAAAUAUCUUUUAAAAAUAGAUAUGUUGAGGUGAGGGAGGUAAUCUGAAAAGACACAAAGAGUGUGCGCUCCAGCACACAUGUAAAGAGUGGGUAAGAUAGCAUACAUUUGUGGUGUCAGUGCUGGAGAGGCAGAAGGAGAUGGAGCCGUGGGAAUCACAGUAAGCCCGGCUUACUUGGCAAGUUUCAGGCCAAUGGGAGACUCUCUCCAAAGAUUGUAGGUGGUACCUACGGAAUGAUGUUUGAGUUUUCUCUCUGGUUUACACACAGGCAUGCACACACACACACACACACACACACACACACACAUUGGAUGUGUCUUUUUUCCACUAUUUCUCCCGUCCUUUCAUGUACCAGUUACUGACUCUCUGAUCAUGAAGGAAAUCGUCUUUUUUCAAUGGAAGAGCCAACCAGACAAUCUCUGAUUUCAGAAACCAUUUAUAUUCUUAUUUCAGUGGCGGUACUCAGAGAUCUCAAAAAAAAAAAAAAGUUUCAUCCACCUACUACAAGCUUCUAAAGCCGAUUUACUUGACUGAGUGCAAAUCUUGGUUCAGAGUUCCUCCAUUCUCUAGCUGCUGAGAUUGUACCCCUGGAGUCAAAGUCUAGGCUGGGCAGCUUGGCCUCUAAACACAACUCACGGUGUCUUCCCACUGAAAACAUCUCCUUUUACGACACUUAAGGGCCAGCCUCCACCAAGAUGAGGUACCUGCAGGAAAAGAACCGCAGACGGAAGGACGGGCUGACAGGCACAGAGAAGCUCAAAGUGGUAGUAUCCAUCCGACUCUCCUCCCGCUGUUCAACUCCUUACCCAUACUGGAGGCCACUUCCGGUCUGUCCGCCUACCACCUCUUCUCUUAGCCAUUCCCCACGUGCCUCCUAAAAAGUUCCACCAGUCUCUCUGGCUACCAAGAUCCUCUCCUAGGCCCCGUACCUCGAUUUGGAGGCCUGUCGAACCAAGAUCAAGUAUCUUUGGUUACUUCAGUGCUUCCGUUCACGGAAGAGGGAGUGGCUAGAGCGACAGUCACGGAAUUCUGCCUUGCGUCUUGAAAACAGAAUACACCAGAAAAUGUAGAGUUAAAUGAACACAGACGUAAAAACAAAUACAUCCUAUAUCAGUCCCCUGAGAUGGCUCUGGCUUGCCUGUACACUGUCCCACAGGCGGCAAAGGGAAUGAUGCUGUCUCCAGACUGGGUCAUAACACCCUCUCACACACCCAGACAAGGCACCGACUCACAAGUACCGCUUCAUCUGGAAUUCUCAGUCAGCCAUACUGAGAACCACACCACACUCUUCUUUUGUUCUCCAGGACAGCUCCACCUCUUGUCCUCACCUGUCAGGUUGCGUGACCUCAGUGUUCGGGCCUCAUUCUCCUAGGAUUUCUCAGAAAACAGAGCAUAUGGCGUUGAAACAAGAUGAAGCAGGUGACUGAGAUUCUUCCUCCCCAGUUUAGAAUCUUAGAGUCAGCCUAGCUGUGUAUCAUCCCUGACUACGGAUUCCAGGAAGGAAUAAAGAAGCUGAUUUCCCUGUAUCCAAGACGGCUAAGCUCUCCGAUGGCAGCAAUUAACAUCCAUCUGUGCUCUUUCACUAAUGCAGAUCCAGCAUGUAGGUAAGGACUUGGCAGGGUGACAGAGGAUCUCUUUGUCUGGGGGUGAAAGUAAUUUAUUAGGAGAAUAUGCAGAGAGAUGGGCAGGUGUUCCUUGAAUUAUGAUAAGACGUCUCUUGGGGAGCUUUAUGAGUAGACGUGUCUUAAACAUGGCUGGUUUUGAUGGUCUCUGACUUUUAGAGGGUGACCUUUGAAUUCUGAAGCCUCAAAUCCUGAAGCGGGAGGUGACGUUAUGGGAUGCUUUCAAAGACUUCGGCGCUUCAUGCCUGGCUUUAAUUAUCUCUCCCUGGUUGUGAACUUCUGGCAAAGAUACAAAAGUGCUGCUGCUGCCCUGCCAGUGAGCUGGUCACUCCCGUGGAGAUGGAUAAAUCAUUCUUGAUCCAGCCAGAAUUCUCAUCACGCUUUAGAGUCACCGAUGCGUGGGAUGCAAAUUAGUAGCCCAACCAGGAAAGCAAGGCAGAGGAUGCGGGCUUCGUGCCAAGUGGGCCAAAGCCCUGGCAUGCAUUUGGUGAUAAAUAUCAGUCCUGGCAUGCUUUCAGCAUUUAAGUCUGGCCUAUUAACCCAGUAGCUGGGACAGUGGGACACUCUGGUUUAGGCCACCCUUGCGGUUGAAUCAUAAUGACGGGGUCACCCUUUCCUGGAGACUCGCAUUAUGGCUUUGUGAGGGUUCGUCUUGAUUGCAUUGAGAAGCGCCUAGAUGGGUUAAGUGUAUCUCUGGUGUGUCUGCAAGGAAGGUUCCAGGUUAAAUCGCCUAAGGAAGAAACAGCCACCCUGGCUGUGGGUGACCCCAUCCCAGAAGCUUGGGCCUAGAUGGAAUGAAAAGGGGGAAAGAGAGGGAGCCUGCUAAUGCAGCUGCUUUCCUCUCCCGAGAGAGCUAUUCUGCUCCACCACAUUUCAGUCCUCAAAACUCUGAAACCAGGAACGGAAGUUAACACUUGCUCCAUUAAGCUGUUUUGUUCAGAUGUUUUGUCUUCGAAGCAACAGCAAAAAGACUAUAACACAGCUGUUGGACAGGAUGACGUAAUUUUACAUCUACCCAAGUGUCCCGGGUAGUUUUAUUGUCAGGUUGACACAACCAAGAGUCCCCCUGAGAAGAGGGAGUCUCGAUCGAGGGAUUGCUUAGAUCAAAUUGACCUGUGGCCAUGACUACGGGGAAUCAUCCUCGUUGUUGAUUGCUGCGGGCAGUGCCAUCCUUGAGCCGCUGGUAUAAGGCUGUAUGAGAAGGCUGGCUUAGCAUAACAGGAGAGAGCAAUCCAGUGUCCAGUGUUCUUUCCUGCUUCCUGCCUUUGCUCCCGCUUGAGUUCCUGCCCCAGCUUCCCCCAGUGAUGGUCCCUUAGCUCUGAGCUGAAAUAAACCCCUUCCUUCUCAAGAUGUAUUUGGGCAGUACUUCGUCACAGCAACACGCAAGCAAACUAGAGCACCGAGUAAAUAUGAUUUCUAUAGGAUGUGUGUCGUAUCAUAUUUUUACUGCCUGAAAGUGGCAACGAGAAUCCUUUUGUUAAUCAUUUUGAGAGGGAUUAUUUUUUUAGAAAUAGCAAAUAAUAGCAAAAACAAUACUGAAGAUAAAGAGUGCCCACAUGAACUAGAAUAAAGAGCAAAACCAGCCAAAAAGCCAGACUUGGGAGCUGGCAAAUUAGGCAGUGUCUGUGCAGCUUGGCAGAGUUCCUUAAAAUAACUCCACACUGCCCCAGGCAAACAGCCAGCACAGUCAAAGAGGCUCCUUCACUGAGACAGCCUGGGUAACCAGCCUCCUCAAGUCUCUCUGGGCUGGACCUCAGGCUUCCCUGAUUAUUGGUGGUGGGGAUGUGGGGGACAAAUGUGCAAAACAAUUGUUUCAGACAUUUAACUUGCCUGACCAUGUUCCCAGGUCUCUCCUGGUCUUCUCAUAACCAAACCAACGUCUGGGUUUGGUCCAACAAUAACUACCUGUUAGAGUUUAAAGAAACUGUUAGGACUUAAAGGCAAAGGGUAAAGGUCCCUGUUGCACUGUCUAGAGACCUGAGUCCCACCUCCAGACUCCUUUAAAGUUGGAAAGAGAGAAUGCCACACACCUUUAAUCCCAGCACUCGGGAGGCAGAGGCAAGUGGAUCUCUGUGAGUUUGAGAUCAGCCUGGCCUACAAAGUGAGUCCAGGACAGCCGGGUUUCCAUUUAUACAGAGAAACCAUGUCUUGAAAAACCUAAAUAAAUAAAUAAAUAAAUAAAUAAAUAGUGAAAAAUGUAAAUUCUGAUUUACAGAAGAGAGCGGAUGGACUGUAUUAAAGGAAAAUAUACUCAAUAAGCACACUCCACUCAUGAAAAGCCAUAGGAGAAAUUAUCUAAAGCAUGUGUGGGUCUACAAGUAGCUUCAAGGAAGCCAGGCAUGGAGGUAUAUGACUAUAUAUACCACGGAAUUCAGGAGGUGAAUGCCAAAGGAGCAGGAGUUCAAAGCCAGCCUAAGCUACGUAAGACCCUGCUUCAAAAUGACUGAACCAAAUCAACAAAUAGAAAAUAAAUUACUGCAAAAAAAAGAAGAGAAAAAGAAACCUGUAAAUUAAACUCAGACAAAAAGAAUAGGAGACAAGUACCCUACAGUCAAGAGAGCACUUACUCUUGGGGGAAGAUGAAUUGGGACUCCGGCUGCAUAUGUCCAGGAUACCCAGAAUAUCCAGAGAACGUCUUUCGACAUGAAGGAUGGACUCAGAGGCACUUGUCUUACAUAAUUCGUUAAGCCGCUUGAGCCACUGUCAAGGCAGAAAGCCUCCUGAACAGAGGCUUGGAUAUUUAACAAGCUGAGGCGUAGAAAAACAUAAUGCUGCUAUUCAUGCGUUCCACACUGAACCUCAAUAGGCCUGCAAAUUACAUGAUCCUUAUCAAAAGCUCUGAGAGCACAUGAAGCAAUUAUGGGGAGACUGCUAAAAAGAAAUGAUAUGGGAGCCGGCGGGGGGGGGGGUCGCUCAGCAGAAGAGCCAUGAGCUUGAGGCCUAUCUGAGGAGAAGUAGGAGGAGGUAUAUAGUGACGAUUGUAUUGAUUUGACUCCUAAUUUUCUGGACAUAAACACCAUGUGUUGUCUACUGAGGGAACGCUGCGGCCGCAAAACAGGAAAAGGUAAACCAAACUUGUUACCCCGAGCAUCACCACACAAAAAGAAAAUCUGUCUUUUAGAAGCCGUAAAACAAAUUAAAUUUCACUUCUACAUUUCA